AAUUGUUGCCAGCAUUUAGUUGGGCACUCUAGUAAGACUGCCGGUGACAAACCGGAGGAAGGUGGGGAUGACGUCAAAUCAUCAUGCCCCUUAUGACCUGGGCUACACACGUGCUACAAUGGAUGGUACAACGAGUUGCGAGACCGCGAGGUCAAGCUAAUCUUUUAAAGCCAUUCUCAGUUCGGACUGUAGGCUGCAACUUGCCUACACGAAGUCGGAAUCGCUAGUAAUCGCGGAUCAGCACGCCGCGGUGAAUACGUUCCCGGGCCUUGUACACACCGCCCGUCACACCAUGAGAGUUUGUAACACCCGAAGCCGGUGGCGUAACCCUUUUAGGGAGCGAGCCGUCUAAGGUGGGACAAAUGAUUAGGGUGAAGUCGUAACAAAGAGCCCUGUCAC
rnacentral:rRNA from 2 species